GGCGUCUUAGCCAAGUGGUAAGGCACGGGUCUGCAACACCCUUAUCGCCGGUUCAAGUCCGGCAGACGCCU
rnacentral:tRNA from 1 species